rnacentral:rRNA from 1 species
AACGAACGCUGGCGGCAGGCUUAACACAUGCAAGUCGAGCGCCCCGCAAGGGGAGCGGCAGACGGGUGAGUAACGCGUGGGAACGUACCUUUUGGUUCGGAACAACUCCGGGAAACUGGAGCUAAUACCGGAUAAGCCCUAACGGGGAAAGAUUUAUCGCCGAAAGAUCGGCCCGCGUCUGAUUAGCUAGUUGGUGAGGUAACGGCUCACCAAGGCGACGAUCAGUAGCUGGUCUGAGAGGAUGAUCAGCCACACUGGGACUGAGACACGGCCCAGACUCCUACGGGAGGCAGCAGUGGGGAAUAUUGGACAAUGGGCGCAAGCCCGAUCCAGCCAUGCCGCGUGAGUGAUGAAGGCCUUAGGGUUGUAAAGCUCUUUUGUCCGGGAAGAUAAUGACUGUACCGGAAGAAUAAGCCCCGGCUAACUUCGUG